CACAAGCCCUCUAGCUGUGUGCACCCAAUACCCAAUUGGUAGAUAGAAGAAAUGGGAGGAAAAGGGUAUGCUCUAUGGCUCUUCAUUAUUGAAAUCUUUGUCCAUUUUUCCACAUCAAGCAGUAGUAGUAGUGGCAACAAAGUUCCUGCAAUAAUAGUGUUUGGAGACUCCUCUGUGGACUCAGGUAACAACAACUUCAUUCCAACCAUUGCAAGGAGCAACUUUGAGCCAUAUGGUCGUGACUUUUUCAAUGGAAACCCUACUGGCCGGUUCUCCAAUGGACGCAUUGCCCCUGAUUUCAUCUCUGAGGCCUUUGGCAUUAAGCAAUCAGUUCCUGCAUACUUGGAUCCUGCUUAUAACAUAUCUGAUUUUGCCUCUGGGGUGUGCUUUGCUUCUGCUGGAACUGGAUAUGACAAUGCUACUGCAAUGGUUGCUGAUGUCAUACCUCUAUGGAAAGAAGUUGAGUAUUACAAGGAGUACCAAAAGAAAUUGAGGGCACAUCUUGGUGAUGAGAAUGCCAAUGAAAUAAUAAGAGAGGCUUUGUAUUUGGUCAGCAUAGGGACCAAUGACUUCCUUGAGAACUACUACACACUCCCUGAAAGAAGGUGUGAGUUCCCUAUUGUUCAGCAGUAUGAGGACUUUCUCAUAGGGCUUGCUGAAAGCUUCUUCAAGGAAAUUUAUGGCCUUGGGGCAAGGAAAAUUUCUCUGACUGGGUUGCCUCCUAUGGGGUGUCUACCACUGGAGAGAGCAGUAAACAUUUUGGAGUACCAUAAUUGUGUGGAGGACUACAAUAAUUUGGCCUUGGAGUUUAAUGGAAAGUUGGGGUGGUUGGUUACAAAGCUCAACAAGGACCUCCCUGGGUUUCAAUUGGUUGAUGCAAAUGCUUAUGAUAUCAUACUGCAAAUCGUUAAACACCCUUCUCGUUUUGGUUUUGAGGUAGCAGAUACAGGAUGCUGUGGAACAGGGAGAUUUGAAAUGGGUUUCUUGUGCGAUCCUAAAUUUACAUGCGAAGAUGCAAAUGUUACAUAGUUGUGGGAUGAGAUUAUCUGCCCUCAAUAUGCUCCACAAGUUGAACAACCUCCGGCUAAUUUUGAAAGUACUCCAACUCCUAAUGUUGAAGGUACUCCAACUCCAACUACCACUCAAGGAAACAAACUUCAUACCUCCACCAUUGUUAACUAUGUUUAGACCACCUCCAAUUAGGCCUUCAACAUCAAUUUGAAUUAUAUUUCCAGAUGUAUCAUUUCAUGGGAUGAACCAACUGAAUUACAUAAGCUUCAUACCCACACCAAGGCUGCCUCGCCACCAAGAUUCAAAGAAGUGAAAUAUGAGAUAUGUUUGUCUUUUGUUUAUAGUAGAUUCUGACUAAUUAUUAUAAUUUGAAUAAAUUUGUAAUAAUUAGUACACAAUUACAAUGUUUAUUUUUGUACAAUGGUAGAAUGUUUAUUUUGAAAAAUUUCUAUCGUGAUAGCAUUAUGUAAUGGUAAAAUCAAGUU